rnacentral:rRNA from 1 species
ACUCCUACGGGAGGCAGCAGUGGGGAAUAUUGCACAAUGGGCGCAAGCCUGAUGCAGCCAUGCCGCGUGUAUGAAGAAGGCCUUCGGGUUGUAAAGUACUUUCAGCAGUGAGGAAGGUGGGUAUGUUAAUAGCAUACUCAUUUGACGUUAGCUGCAGAAGAAGCACCGGCUAACUCCGUGCCAGCAGCCGCGGUAAUACGGGAGGGUGCGAGCGGUUUAAUCGGAAUUACUGGGCGUAAAGCGCAUGCAGGUGGUUUGUUAAGUCAGAUGUGAAAG